AGGCCCCGAAGGACAGGGCUGGAAAGGGCCAAGGGGAAGUGGCCCAGGGAACCUGAGCAGUGGAGGAGAGAGAAGCAGGGCAGGACAUGGCUGCUGCCAGAGGGUCCCUGGGCUGGAACCCAGAGUAGUGGGUGGGCCUGGGUUCCCCCUCCCCCCCUCACACUGCACCUGGCCAGGGAGGAGCCUGGUCCGAUACAGACGGGGGCUGGACCUGAGGCUGGGGGCUAGACUCGGGUUGCAGUUGGGCACAAGGCAGGGCCAGGCUGAGGACUGUGGAUACCCCUGGAAGAGGGAGAACUGAGUGGGGCACAGCUGGAGGGCAGGUGCAGGCUGAGGACUGUGGAUACCCCUGGAAGAGGGAGAACUGAGUGGGGCACAGCUGGAGGUCAGGGCCAGGCUGAGGACUGCGGAUACCCCUAGGAUGGGGAGAACUGAGUGGGGCACAGCUGGAGGGCAGGGCCAGGCUGAGGACUGCGGAUACCCCCGGAAGGGGGGAGAACUGAGCAUGGCACAGCUGGAGGGCUCUGUCCAGGAGAGGAGGCCGCAAGCCAGGGAGCAACGUGGGUCCCAGACAGCACAACAGACCAGACAACGGGUGAGAUGCCACCUGCAGAGGGCGCCCCACAGCUGGGCAGAGCUAGUUCCUGGAGCAGCCAGCAGGAGGUGCCGCGGUGAUGAGUCUGCAUGUGUUACAGGUGGGUUGGGACUGGGGCAUCGCUGCUGCUACCCUGAGUAAAUGGCCUCUGCUGGAAGGAGUCGUCUGGAGGGGGUUGGGGGUGGAAUAUGUCCUCAGUGCCUGCACUGCCAUGCGUGCUGACAGACAGGACUCGUGGAACGGUGCACUUGGCACUUACACUUCAGAUCGAGGGAAGUGAUCAUUCCCCUCUAGUCGGCACUGGUGAGGCCUCAUCUGGAGUCCUGUGUCCAGCUUUGGGCCCCACACUACAAGAAGGAUGUGGAAAAAUUGGAAAGAGUCCAGCGGAGGGCAACAAAAAUGAUUAGGGGGCUGGAGCACAUGACUUAUGAG